UACAGAGGGUGCGAGCGUUAAUCGGAAUUACUGGGCGUAAAGCGCGCGUAGGCGGCUUUGCAAGUCGGGUGUGAAAUCCCCAGGCUUAACCUGGGGACUGCAUUCGAGACUGCAUUGCUAGAGUAUGGGAGAGGGAAGUGGAAUUUCCGGUGUAGCGGUGAAAUGCGUAGAUAUCGGAAGGAACAUCAGUGGCGAAAGCGACUUCCUGGACCAAUACUGACGCUCAUGUGCGAAAGCGUGGGGAGCAAACAGG
rnacentral:rRNA from 1 species